GGGGUGGAGCCGUAGCGAAAGCGAGUCUGAAUAGGGCGUUUGUCAGUGUUUAUAGACCCGAACCCGGGUGAUCUAACCAUGGCCAGGAUGAAGCUUGGGUGAUACCAAGUGGAGGUCCGAACCGACUGAUGUUGAAAAAUCAGCGGAUGAGCUGUGGUUAGGGGUGAAAUGCCAAUCGAACCCGGAGCUAGCUGGUUCUCCCCGAAAUACGUUGAGGCGUAGCGUCUCGUGCUCCAGCAGGGGGGUAAAGCCACCAUUUCGGUGCGGGCUGCGAGAGCGGUACCAAAUCGAGAUGAACUCUGAAUACCCUGUGUGUAGCGAGGCAGUCAGACUGUGGGGGAUAAGCUCCAUGGUCGAGAGGGAAACAGCCCAGACCGCCAGCUAAGGUCCCCAAAUCAACACUAAGUGAUAAAGGAGGUGGGAUUGCCCAGACAACCAGGAGGUUUGCCUAGAAGCAGCCAUCCUCAAAGGAGUGCGUAAUAGCUCACUGGUCGAGCGAUCCUGCGCCGAAAAUGAAUGGGGCUAAGUGUUGUACCGAAGCUGCGGAUUUAUGGUAGGGGAGCGUUCUAUGUGGGGCGAAGCGUUAGCGUGAGCGGGCGUGGACUGCAUAGAAGUGAGAAUGUCGGCUUGAGUAGCGAAAACAUGGGUGAGAAUCCCAUGCACCGAAACCCUAAGGGUUCCUCCGGCAGGCUCGUCCGCGGAGGGUUAGUCUGGACCUAAGGCGAGGCCGAAAGGCGUAGUCGAUGGGAACCACGUUAAUAUUCGUGGGCCAAGGGAUGAGUGACGGAUUUCGAAAGUUGUAUUCCCUUAUUGGAUUGGGAAUGCAGCCUGGAAGUUCCUGGAAAUAGCCUCCCUAUAAGACCGUACCCGAAACCGACACAGGUGGUCAGGUAGAGC
rnacentral:rRNA from 11 species